UUCCCUGGCUGGGGAUUGAACCCUGGCCCCAGCAGUGAAAGAGCUGAGUCCUAACCACUGGACCACCAGGGA
rnacentral:tRNA from 1 species